GGGGGUGCACCGGUUUCGACAGGGGGUACUGAAAUUUUGUGGGCGUGUCCAGGUUGAUCGGCAUGGUCCUGGUAAAAAGUCGAUCAAAAAUUAAAUGCUGAAUCAAAUGAUUACGCAUACGCAAUGGCUGCUUAAUUUAAUUAAGCCCGUUCGUUGAGGUGGUUACGGCCGAUAACAAAGCUCGUGACAAAUUUGGUGUGGGAGCAAGCAAAACUUCCUCUGGAGAGUGAUCGGUAAUACUCCAUAAAAAAUUGCCGAGCUUGUAGAUUCACGAAUCUUCUAGUCUUCGCUCUGAGACAAUAAUUCAGAGCUACACACGUAGUCCGCUUUAUAGACGUCUCUUUGGACGUGGGUUCGAUUCCCACCACCUCCACCA
rnacentral:tmRNA from 1 species